rnacentral:rRNA from 1 species
GUGGGGAAUUUUGGACAAUGGGGGCAACCCUGAUCCAGCCAUGCCGCGUGCGGGAAGAAGGCCUUCGGGUUGUAAACCGCUUUUGUCAGGGAAGAAAUCCUUUGGGUUAAUACCUCGGAGGGAUGACGGUACCUGAAGAAUAAGCACCGGCUAACUACGUGCCAGCAGCCGCGGUAAUACGUAGGGUGCGAGCGUUAAUCGGAAUUACUGGGCGUAAAGCGUGCGCAGGCGGUUUUGUAAGAUCGAUGUGAAAUCCCCGGGCUCAACCUUGGAACUGCAUUGGUGAAUGCAAGGCUGGAGUGCGGCAGAGGGGGAUGGAAUUCCGCGUGUAGCAGUGAAAUGCGUAGAUAUGCGGAGGAACACCGAUGGCGAAGGCAAUCCCCUGGGCCUGCACUGACGCUCAUGCACGAAAGCGUGGGGAGCAAACAGGAUUAGAAACCCUUGUAGUCC